AGAGUUUGAUCCUGGCUCAGAACGUACGCUGGCGGCACGCCUAACACAUGCAAGUCGAACGCAGUAGCAAUACUGAGUGGCAAACGGGUGAGUAUAAUGUGGGAAUCUGCCUUUUGGUUCGGAAUAACACGAGGAAACUUGUGCUAAUACCGGAUAAGCCUUUACAGGGAAAGUUUUAAUGCCAAAAGAUGAGCCCGCACUUGAUUAGCUAGUUGGUAAGGUAAUAGCUUACCAAGGCUACGAUCAAUAGCUGUUCUUAGAGGAAGACCAGCCACAUUGGGACUGAGACACGGCCCAAACUCCUACGGGAGGCAGCAGUGGGGAAUCUUGCACAAUGGGGGAAACCCUGAUGCAGCGAUGCCGCGUGAGUGAAGAAGGCCUUUGGGUUGUAAAGCUCUUUCGUCGGGGAAGAAAAUGACUGUACCCGAAUAAGAAGGUCCGGCUAACUUCGUGCCAGCAGCCGCGGUAAUACGAAGGGACCUAGCGUAGUUCGGAAUUACUGGGCUUAAAGAGUUCGUAGGUGGUUGAAAAGGUUGGUGGUGAAAUCCCAGAGCUUAACUCUGGAACUGCCAUCAAAACUUUUCAGCUAGAGUAUGAUAGAGGAAAGCAGAAUUUCUAGUGUAGAGGUGAAAUUCGUAGAUAUUAGAAAGAAUACCAAUUGCGAAGGCAGCUUUCUGGAUCAUUACUGACACUGAGGAACGAAAGCAUGGGUAGCGAAGAGGAUUAGAUACCCUCGUAGUCCAUGCCGUAAACGAUGUGUGUUAGACGUUGGAAAUUUAUUUUC
rnacentral:rRNA from 1 species